UAACGGUGUUCUCUUCUUGUUGCCUAGGUGACGGUGCUGUUCUCGGGUGUGGUGGCGUUCCUGGUCAACCUGUCCAUCUACUGGAUCAUUGGAAAUACCUCGGCUGUCACCUACAACAUGUUUGGUCAUUUUAAAUUCUGCAUCACUCUGAUUGGAGGAUACCUGCUCUUUCAUGACCCGCUGUCACUCAACCAGGCACUGGGGAUCCUCUGCACUCUGGCAGGUAUCCUGUCUUACACUCACUUCAAGCUGAAUGAACAGGAGGAGGGAAAGAGCCGCCUUGCUCAAAGACCAUAGGCUGACUCUCUUGUCAAUCAACUGCACCGACUCCUGCAGUUUGCCACAGACUGAAGGCUAUAUAUAUAAAUAUUUUUAAGGGUAUUUUUCUAGCAGAGUAAGGGUUUUCAUCGCUGUUCCCCGACAUGUCGACACAUCCUCUGCUCCUCCCGGGGCUUUCUACCCAACAACACAGAUGUUGAAAGGGAAACGGAAACUCAUCACACCGGCAGCUGGAAAAUGAAAAGCUUUUUUUGAACUUAGUUAAACUAAAAAUCAGACAAUACCAUCUUUGUUGUCAUCCAAAGCAGAUACAAGAACAUGCUCUCUCACGCCCUGUUUGACGGAUCUGAUGACCUGCGAUACGUUUAGUAACCAAUCAAAAUGAGGCUACAGGUAUGUUAUCAUAGGGUGGGAAGAG